GACGAACGCUGGCGGCGUGCUUAACACAUGCAAGUGGAGCGACGAACCAGGGCUUGCCCUGGGGCAGAGCCGCGAACGGGUGAGUAACACGUGGGUAACCUGCCCAGAUGACCGGGACAACCCGAGGAAACUCGGGCUAAUACCGGAUGUGCUGCUCUCACAUCAGUGAGAACAGGAAAGGUAGCUUCGGCUUCCGCGUCUGGAUGGGCCCGCGGCGCAUUAGCUUGNGGUGGGGUAACGGCCUACCAAGGCGACGAUGCGUAGCUGGUCUGAGAGGACGAUCAGCCACACUGGGACUGAGACACGGCCCAGACUCCUACGGGAGGCAGCAGUGGGGAAUCUUGCACAAUGCGCGAAAGCGUGAUGCAGCAACGCCG
rnacentral:rRNA from 1 species